GAUGAACGCUGGCGGCGUGCUUAACACAUGCAAGUCGAACGAACCUUCGGGUUAGUGGCGGACGGGUGAGUAACGCGUGAGAAUCUGCCCUCAGGAGGGGGAUAACGGCUGGAAACGGCCGCUAAUACCCCAUAUGCCGAGAGGUGAAAUGAAUUUCGCCUGAGGAUGAGCUCGCGUCUGAUUAGCUAGUUGGUGGGGUAAGAGCUCACCAAGGCUUCGAUCAGUAGCUGGUCUGAGAGGAUGAGCAGCCACACUGGGACUGAGACACGGCCCAGACUCCUACGGGAGGCAGCAGUGGGGAAUUUUCCGCAAUGGGCGAAAGCCUGACGGAGCAAUACCGCGUGAGGGAUGAAGGCCUCUGGGCUGUAAACCUCUUUUAUCAAGGAAGAAGAUCUGACGGUACUUGAUGAAUAAGCCACGGCUAAUUCCGUG
rnacentral:rRNA from 1 species